UUUUCAUUUCAAUUUUGUUUACUGACUUUACAACAAAAUUGUAUGUAUUUAGUAUGCAGUUACGUGUUUCCACUGAGCGAUCGUCCUGUCUGGACCACAUUCUCUUAAGGUGUUUUACAAAACUUGCCACUGGGAUUUCGCCCUUUUAGCCCCUAUGGCCCCUAAGGGCCCCGUGAAUCCACGAGUGGCAAGAUGAUUAUGGGUCGACAUGAAAUCGACCAACAUCUGCAUUUGAAUUUUAUUGCUUCAUUAUUGCUUCUUGAUCUGAAUAAAACACAAAUAUUUGUCAAAUAAUUGACGAUAGAAUUAGAAGAAUAACGACACGUUAAAAAUACACUGAGCGAUUUCUUGGGAGAAUAAGUUUCGUUUUUCAUUUGUUUCAAGUUUCAUUUCAAUAUUUCUCAAUUUGGAGUAACCUGCGAUGAAUGUUGUCAAUUUGGCGUAUUCGGAUACUGAUUGUUGGAAAACUGGUUGAAUGAUGGAGUAAGCUGCGAUGAAUGUUGUCGAUUUGGCGUAUUCGGAUACUGAUUAUUGGAAAACUGGUUGAAUGAUGGAGUAAGCUGCGAUGAAUGUUGUCAAUUUGGCGUAUUCGGAUACUGAUUAUUGGAAAACUGGUUGAAUGAUGGAGUAAGCUGCGAUGAAUGUUGUCAAUUUGGCGUAUUCGGAUACUGAUUAUUGGAAAACUGGUUGAAUGAUGGAGUAAGCUGCGAUGAAUGUUGUCAAUUUGGCGUAUUCGGAUAACAUUAUUGGAAAACUGAUUGAUUAAUGAAGAUUGUAGGUUCGGGUAUUGAACACGUUGCGUAAGAUGCUUUAUUUCAGUAUCUGUCACUACCUGACAUACUUUUAGUCUAAUCUCAGCCUGCAAAUGAGGUGGCAAUUUAUCCGCAAUAUCGGCCAUUGAUUCGAAAAACUUUUGCAUAGAUGAUUUAUGUUCCGAUGGUUUAUUUAUAAUCUUGUCAUACAAAGCUGACCGCUGAGCAUCUCUUUUGGCGAAAAUUUUCAUAAGAGGUUAAGACGAAUUUCUUUUUGUAGCUCGCCUUUUAUUUUGCGGAACAGUAAUUUCGUCAGCGUUCAGAAAAUCAUAUUUAGUUCUUUGCCAAAAAAGUUCAAAAAAGUUAAUGGAAAAAUUGAAUAGACGUGGGAAGCAUGAGCUGGCCUGCUUUCGUCUAUCAGAGACGGAGAUGACAAUUCUGAUACGUGGUUUAGUUCUCAUACACAGGGAACGAAAUUUGAACAGGUAAAACCGGUUGGUCGAUCUCGUUUUGUAAUGUUUCCGGUAAAGGUCUUUCAGAUAUAAUUGAAGGAGCAUAGGCAUCUUCGGGUAUAACUUCAGGAUCAAGAGGGUAUAAGCCAGUGGCUUUGAAUCCAUUUGUUAUAUUGGUUUGAGUUAUACAUUUCGGCCAUGUUCGCGAGAAAAUUUUAAAUGCAACUUUAUUAAAGUUCUCUCUAGAGAAUUGCAAAGGUAGUUCAACACUUCUUCAUCCCAGUGAUGUUCGAAGGAUCGAUUAACUGAUUUGUCUAGAGGUUGGAGUUCGUGCGUAGUGUUCGAAGGUAAGUAAUACAGCACUUUAUUAUUUUUAUCUGCUUCUUUCAGAGCCUCAUAUGUUAAAUGACACUUUCCACCAUCAAAGAUAAGCAGACACUUACCGGGUGCUAUAUGUUGAGCAAAAUGUCUAGUAGGGUAGGUAGAGUCGAAAGAAAAAAUAAAAAAUUAAAGCGAAUCUAUGGUAUGGCCAUAGAUGCUAUGGUAGCUAUAGGUUGGCGUUGGUCGGGAAUUCCCCGUUUCCUGUGCUACGACAAGAAUAUAGGUACAGUGCCCGGCGACCGGCAAACUACUUGAGUAUUGACGCGAUUGGCUGUAGAAUGGCGGGUGCGCACGAUUGGUUCAUCAGACGACGCGAGUGCACGCGAUUGGUUGAUACGUCGACUUUCUCUUCCUGGAUUCGCCAAACUUCUCCCACUACGCUGCUGCAGGUCCAAGUUGUUUGGCCGGGCACAGGGCACUAUACUACAGUCCGUUCACAGUUAAUUUACCUCUGACAUUUGGUCCCGUUAGGUUGGCACUACUUGCUGUCAAGUGUAUCGGUCGUUUUGUCAGCUCCUCUGUUUAAUCUAUUGUUUCGGUGAUUAUUUAAUCGUUUAACAUGCCGAAAAGGAUUCAAAGCAGUGGCAGAAAAAUAGUGCCAUCCGUGCGUGAUUUUUGUGAAAGGAAAAAGGCAAAUAAUGCCCCUCUUAUCCCAUUUGAAAAUGUUCGUAAACGUGUAGCUGCUAUGACAGGUAUAUCUGAGAAAACCGUCAGUACCAUUACUAAAGAAGGUGAGGUUGCAGCUUCUACAUCACAAAACAUUUCUUUACCUAGAAAAAAACGCAACCAACGAAAGAAAAUUCAGUUAGAUGAUUUUGAUCUAUGUGCCAUCAGGAAUAAAAUACACUUUAUGUACACAGUCCGAAAAGAGGUACCGACUUUGAAAAAGCUAUUAUCUGAGUUGAAAAUUGACAUAAACUUUAAUGGCGGUCGGACUACUUUAUGGAAAAUUAUUCGCCAAAUAGGAUUUCGUUUUAAAAAAUGUGGCUCCAAAAGAAAAUUACUUAUGGAACGACAUGAAAUUGUAGCUUGGAGACACCGAUAUUUAAACGUUUUGAGAAAAAAUCGUACUGAAGGCCGACCUGUCGCAUUUCUCGAUGAGACCAUACACGCUUCGUACUCUGUUAAAAAAUGUUGGCAAACUGGGGAUGAGCAAGGUGUUCUAACAAACGAUUCUACUGGUGCGCAUUGGAUUAUUGUUCAUGCAGGUGGUGAAAUGGGUUUCAUACCAAACGCGCAAUUAAUAUUCAAAUCUCAAACAAAAUCGGGAGAUUACCAUGAUGACAUGAACAAAACAAAUUUUAUGAAAUGGUUACAGGAAAAAUUGAUACCUAAUUUACCACCUAACAGUUUAAUCGUCAUGGAUAAUGCACCUUAUCACACUGUUAGGGUAAAUAAGGCGCCCACAACAAGCUCUUCUAAAGCCGAUAUGCAAAAUUGGAUAACAAAUAAAGGAUUAUCUUAUCUGCCUACUAUGGUUAAAGCUCAACUUUAUGAAAUUAUAAAGGAGCAUAAAGAAGCUCCGAUAUACGAGGCUGACCAAUUGCUUGAGGCUCAUGGACAUAAUGUGGCUAGAUUACCACCCUACCACUGUGAGUUGAACGCUAUCGAGUUUAUGUGGAGUCUUGUAAAAAGGCGAGUAGCCAUUAAUAACGUAGGGCAGGAAGCAGGUAACAUUGUAAAAUUAACCGAAGAAUCAUUUGAAUCUAUUACGCGCAAGAAUAUUGGGCCCGAGUCAAGAAAAGUGUUGAUUUAUGUUCAUUCUCUAUCUUUACUUUAUUUGUUAAGGCACUGCGAGCAACCUGUUGUAUAAUUAUUAUUCGUUUAUUAAUUAUUAUUAACGUACAUUUAACUGUAAAUAAUAAUUGAACAGGGAAGUAGUAAAAAUCAAAAAUGGCAACACAGAGCUCACGCUAGCCAAUCUUACAGCCAGAGGUAAAAUAACUGUGAACGAACUAUACUCUCUAACGGUAACGAGAAGACGAACGACGACAGAAUCCUUACUAAACUAAAAUAGUACGCGCUGGCGCUACUUGUAUUCUAGCUUGUGUUCUUUUAUUAAAACUUUGGCGGUGGACCCAAAUAGAGGUCCAAUAACAAACACCGCUGAGGUUUCAUAUAGUAUAUAUUAUAUUUAGCUUUACACUUGUGAGAACUUGUUACAUGUCGAUGAAAUUCACACAAUUAAUUAAAGUUAGGUAUAGAAUUAAGACCAAAUAUGCAUGAGUCAUCAAUCGAACCAAAAAAGCGGUAGAAGUGACGUGUGAAACGUCAGUUAUUGACACUAAUGGAUAGGUUACACAGUGCGAGGAACUGAUGUGACAGUAGACAGCUACUGUGUCUAUCCCAAGUAACAAAAAGUGGUCUUGUAGUGGUUCCGGAGCCAGGUCUAUAACAGGCUAGUAAAAGUUUAUAACCACAGAAAAGGGCCCAUUUUAUACGCGUACUUUUGCUAAUAAAACACUCAUAGUAGACUUGGCGAGCACCACUUAGAUCAAUAAUACACUUAUAGUUGGACUACGCAGAACUAUUUGCUCCUGCGAAGCCAGCUAUGAGCAUCUAACAGAACCAGCCACCACGACUUAAGCCCAUAAUACACUUAUAGUUAGACUCCGGAGAACCAUUUGCUCCCGCGAAGCUCACUAUUAGCAUUUAAUAGAACCAGACAGGCGUGUAACGUACUCCGCGCUUCUAUUACUAGCUACUUCAAACAUUUGUGAAUUGUUAUUGUGUUAUGUUGUGCGGUCGUGGAGAAAAAUAAAAAAAAUAAAAGGUAAGUUCAUCUAUUAUAUAUAAAAUAUAUUAAUAAGUAUUUCGCACGAAAUAUUAUACGUGCAUACGUGUGUGCACGGCAAACGCGUAAGUAUUUUCGGUGAAGUAUAUUGUGUUUUACAUCUCAAUUUUUGUUCGCCUUUUGAACACGGCGUAUUUACAAAGUUGUGUUUAAAAAUAAUAUUAGUCCUAACAGCAUUGUCGCGCCAUAUUGUGACGAAUUAGAGUUCCGCACACAAAUGUCUUAAAUGCUUGCUAAACUAAGAGUUUAUUAUUUUUAUGUUUUAGUUGUGACUUGGAUCGAACUACUAUGGUCAUAUUUCUAGACGUAGACCGUUUUUUGACUAAAAAUGAUAUCCGAGCCUUAAAAACUGCGAGAUGGCCUUGGAUUGAAACUCAUUUCUUGUUAUCUCGCAAUUGCCAUGGUUGUGGCAAGAGAGUUUCAACAUAUUCUGGAGAAAGGCCAGUUCAUAUUGUUUUGAAGGAAGAACACAUAAAAUUAUUGUUAAACGAAAAAAAAUUUUGGUGUGAAAAUUGCAACUUCGCCGUUUAUGACCAUUUCACUAGUGACGAAUGUGAACUAGGUAAUUAAUUUUAUUACUUCAUUUCAUAAAUAUUUUUUAAAGAUUGUAAUUGCUGCUUGGUGGAAAUCAUCCGUAAAUAUACUAGAUAAGUAUUUCUAGGGUUUAACCUGUGGUAUAACUGCGGGGAAUCCCUGUGUUAUGUAGGUAAUGUUUGAACUGAAGUUAGCCGCGCGCGCGGGAUAGCUGGCGCGGCGCUCGCUCGCCAGUCGCAUGCCGCGUGCGUGUCUGUUCUUGUUCAGUAAGCUCUUAGUUAGCUGUGCUAAUGUGAUGACGGCGGACGUGCGUGAAUAAUAUUGAGCAAUAAUUUUUCGUUUACAUCACAAAGGUUGAUGUUAUGCACUGCUUACUUAACCUGUUCAUCUGACGCCCACUAGCACCAAAGAUAAACCACCGGCGCCGGUUAACCGAACUUUGACAACAUCAUACCAUAGGAACAUAUUUUGGGAUAAGUAUUGGUGCAGGUGGGAACUAAGGACUAAAAUUUCAAUUGUUCUUGCAUCUUGACUCAUGACGCCUUGCGUACCUGAACCGGUGCUUUUCUUAGUGCUUACGUUCGUCCCUAAUAUUCUACCUAUAUCGUUUAAGCAAAAUUGUAUUACGUGCAAAUUAACUUGUGUGCGUUUCACAAGUGAGCUCUCUUUUCGUUAUGUUGGCAGCAUGCGAAAUUGUUCGAAAAUAAUCCGUAGGCUCAUGUAAUAAGGACGUUCAUUAAAGAAUGGGCAUAAGGACGUCCUUAUUGCAUCUCCAUACAGAUUAUUUUUGGACAAUUCGCAAUGCUGCCAAUAUAACGGAGCUCUAUGUAAACUAUUGCAUCUGUCUCCGUAAGUUCGUUCGGUUUGUUUCUUAUGGUUUGAUGUAUUAUAAAAUGUAUUUAUAGUUACAUGUAUUUUUUUACAGAUUCCUGCCAUGCCUUUCUCAGUAGUGCAAACAAUUGAAAAAGGCGAAUUAAGAUUAACGGCCGUACCAGAUCUGUGGGUGCAUAAUAAAUUACUUUUUUGGCCAAAGAAGUCAGCAGAUAAAUUAAGGAGGCAGGAAAAUAGUUCACCUGAUGCUUCUUGGGAAAUCAUGUCAUGUGAUGUAAAAAGAAAAAAUCUUAAAACAUUUCAAGAGGCACAGGAUGAAAUUGAUACAAUGAGUGACAAAUCAGAUACUGAAACUGACGAAGGAGAUACGAACCGUCGAUCAUUACGCAAGGAAAAAUAUCCCUUGCCAGAUAAAUCUUUCAACGAAUUGGCGAAGACUUUAACAGAUAAUCAUAAUCAAAUGCUAAGUACCACAACACCAGUCACUCAAGUAGCCCAGAAAUCCCAAGAAGACACAAAUUGCUGUUUUGUGCCCCAAGACCAGAUUGUUGGUACAGUCGAGGGCAAUAUUCCUGUCACAAUUCCGGAAUCGAAUUUCCUCUUUUAUACACAUACAGAACCGGAAAUUUCAACACCAACUAACGAGAUUGAAGCUAUUAAGGAGAGCAUAGCAACCAUUAUAGCCAAUCAAAAUUCCUUACAUGAAAUCCAAACUAAUAUGUGUGUAAAGAUCUCAGAAAUACAAACAGAGCUAAGAUCAUUCAUAAAAAUGAGCGUAUCACAAAAAAGAGUUGACGAAGAGCCAACUCUAAUAAAAAAUAUCAAAGACCUUGAGGAAUUUGAAAAAAAUCUAUCAAAUAGAACAUUCAAAGAUAACAUGUUGAUGAAAUUUGUCGGUGUGUGUUCUAAAGGUUUGGGCAAAGGCGGCGUAAAUGCCUACCACUUGGUCGAUUCUUUGUUUGAAAGAAAUUUUCUUAAGCAAUGUACGUGGACUGGCUUUUCCAAGAAAGAAGCAGUAAAAAUAUGUUUUAAAGCGUUUACGAGAACGAUUUCUCUUUUUUUUGAUAUUAUCCACGCAACAGAUGAAAGUUUUACAAAAGUGGACUGCGAUAAAUUUUUUAAAACUAUUUUGAAAAAUGCUCAUAAACGCAGCGAAAGCAAUCAGAGGAUGUCGGCUCCAAAAGUUAGAGUAAUAAAGAGAAAAAGGACAGCAAAAACUCUUCCAAUAGAUGUGCCGAUUGAGAAUGUUAACGGAGAGGGCUCCGGUCAAAACAGCGUCGAGACUCCCGAUUUAAACAAUGAAGAGAGAUCUGACCAAAAUGAUGUUGAGAUUUUCUAUCAAAGUGAUGAAGAGAGGCCUGAUAAAACGACGAAGGGAUGUCCGACUAAUUGAGUACGUAGUUAAUGUUUUCAUAUAAUGUUUACACACCUACAUUUGGUAACUCGAUUCAUUUUUUGUCGCUGAUUUUUGAAUAAUCCUAGAUUAGGUGGGAAUAAUUAAUUAUUGAUGGUGAUAUUACUUAACAAGAGGUUAAGUUUUCAUAGUUGUUAUUUCUAAGUUUAUUUUAAAGUUCCUUUGGUAGCUAAGACUUGUUGGUUGAAUAAAAGAGCACCUAUUUAACUAAACGUGAAAAAAGUGAUUUUUGAUGUACCUAUAUAACAAAAUUUUGUAUUGUAGUACUUAUACCUAAAAUUAAAAAGCAAACAAGCUAUGUAGAAAAUAGUAGUACCAAUAGUAAAAGCUGUUUGUAUUGAUGAAUGCUAUCAUCUGCUUAUGGGAUCAAAACCUUCGAAACGGGUUGGAAGAUUUUUGUGUGGAGCCUGAGGGGUUGCGUCCCACCUACAACUUUUCUUGUGAAAAGUCGUAGCCAUUGAUGGAACUUCCAUAAAUCGAUAGAUUGUUUCAAUACGAAUCGAAACUGAAGAGUGAUAAAAUCUCUUAAAGUGUCACAUUUCCGAGAUACAGGCCAUCAAACGUUCUAAUAUUGGAGUUUUGAAACUUUUGACAGCCUUUACCUUGGAAAUGUGAGAUUUUAUCACUCUUUAGUUUCAAUUUGUAUUAAAGCGAACUAUCGAGUUAUGGAAGUUCCAUCAAUGGCUGCGACUUUUCACAAAAAAGUUGUAGGUAGGCCGGGCCCAACCUAGGCCAAAUGCUGUUUUUACCAUAGUUUUGUAUAUUUUUUUUAAUUUGUUGGAAUUGUGAGUUUUGUUCAUUAAUUUUUAAGCACAUAAUUUUUUAAUGUUAAAUUUUUUAACUUUUUUUGUUUAACCUACAACUAUAGAGUAUUUCGUUAGCAUAACUUAGUAAUCUGACGAAUUUUGGCUAUUAAUUUUAAAGUCACGUUUGGUUAGUCAAAAAUUAUAUUUAUUUUUAUCUAUAUGUAAGCAUAAAUAAAGGAAAGGAAGUAUUUGAUACACAAGAUACUGAAGGACUUGUAAUUGUGAUAAAUGAUUGUGACUGUUUCUUGUCAAUAUGCUAAAGGAAAGGAACGUGAUUACCUCAUUGAUUAUACCUUUUAAGAUUGAUUUUGGUCUCGCUUUAAGAUUAUUGUAAUAAAAAAAAUUGUUAUUGAAAUAAUAAAACUUUAAUUUUGAUUA